ensembl:lncRNA
UGAGCAUCACCAGCGACUGAGCUGCGCAUCAUUGGGCUACUAAAAAUGUUUCCCAACUUCGGUCCAAUGGUCAGGGGAGGUCACUCUCUCUGUGUGCCAGUAACAGACACAGACGGUUAACAACCGGGCACAGCAUCAAAGAGCCAAGGUAUGUCCCCACACACACACACACACACACACACACACACAUUCAGGCGCACGCACACACGCACACACACACACACACACACACACACACACACACAGCCCACUCUACGUCUCCUCAGCUCUCUGUCUCCCUCUAACUGAGUGAACGCAUCACUCUGUGCUAAGUGGAAGUCUCACUCACCUCUCAUCCUCUAACGAUGUCAUCCUUCCCUCCGCAACUCACACAUCACACAUCAGUUAGUUAUUUUGGGUGGGGGGG